rnacentral:lncRNA from 1 species
UGUCCCCUGGGUCUGAUCUCCCUGGAAACAGAGGAAAUGCGGUAACAACAACAACAUACCCAGUAUAUUCCCAUAUUUGGGGUCUGGGGAUAGUGUGUACGCAGACCUUACCCCUACCUAGUGAAGGUAGAGACGUUGUUUCCAAUAGAAAGGUGGUAAGUUUUCUCAUAAUUGGUGCUUAACAUUGGGUUGGAAAUGUUGCAUUUGGGUUUGAUGUCUUCUUAUUGAAAAGAAAAGGUAUACAGAUCAUGCUAAUAUCAAAAGAAAAAGACUAAAUUGAUGCUUCUUUGUGGCAAGGAUAUACUAAAGGCUAAUAAACCAGUCUUGGUUUUAGAAAUUGUGCUAGUCAUCCCCUUGUCAGCUAAUCAUGUCUAAUGCGCAAGUUUUCUCUUCUAAAGAAGUGAUAAAAAUGCAUGUUACUUCCUUAAAGUUCUAUGAACACAUUAAUAUUAAGGCAUAAAGUCGUAAAACAUGGGAUUAAUACAUACUUUACUCCCCAAACUUGGACAAAAAUCCUUUACUUUUCUUUGUGUCUAUUUUCCGUAGCAAAAGCCCCACGAAAAUGCCAUGUGGCAUGUGCGUCACUGCAUCACUUACCAGCCCAAGCAAAGCGUGCAAGGGUUAAAAAUCUGUCAAAAUCCCAUUUUUUAAAAGAUUUUUCAGCUUGUUUUCUUCUUUUUAGAUGCUACCUCUUUUUUGACACUUCUUUUUUCUUUUUUUGCCUUAUUGUAUAUUCUUUUCCUUUUCUUUAUUUUCUCUUUCCUUCUUUCUUUUUCUACUCCAAUUGUUCUUAUCCUCUGAACUCUCCGAUAUACUGUUGCUCCAGUAAGCAGCCAACUAUAGGGUGCACACUUUACUGUUAGCCACAUGAGCUCAACCAUGUUGAACGCAGCAACUAGAGGUGCAUGCUCUACUGUUAGCCACAUGAACUCAACCACGGUCCAGUUAAGCAGAAGCUCUCUUGGUCACUUGAUUGCCGAUAUUUCUCAGAGGGAAGUUAGGAAGAAGGAACGAGAAAGCAGGGAAAAGAUACAAAAGAUAAGGAUAAUGAAAUAGAUCCUUUGUUUCUCAUGCAUAUUUUGCAUUCUUUUUGGUUUUAAAUCUGUUAAUGGGAAAAUGGGUUUGUUACCGGCAAAGUUUGUCGAGCAAAAGUGAAGGUAGAAGGCCCACAGGGUUAUGGGAAUGAAAAUAGAGAAAGAUUUCUACAGAGACUGCCAAGAUUUGGUCCAGCCAGAAUUUCAACCAAGAAAAUGACAAUGGGAAAAGGGGUUUUCGCCGGUAAAUUUGGCUUGGAAAAAUGGUUGAAAGCUAGCAAGGAUGGACCUUUUUUCAUUUUUUUCCCAUGACGUGUCAUGAGUGGUGCGUAUCAUGUGCUUCCAAGAGGGAGUGGUCGUAUGUCAUCCAGGAGGGUCUUAGACAUGGAUUUUGCAGAAUUAAGAAGGAUGCCACGAAGAAAAGGUGUGUAAAUGGGAUUUCUGUGCAAGUUGGAGGACUAAGAGCCCAUUUGGAUUGGUUUUAAAAAAGUGGCUUUUAAGUAUAAGUGCUUAAAAGUACUUUUAAGUGCUGGAGUUUGUUUUAUAAAUAAGCAGUUAAGUGUUUGGAUAAAAGUGCUGAAACUUAAAAAAAGUUGUUGAAGUGUUUGGUAAAUAAGUGCUGGUAAGCACUUGUUUCUGUUAAAAUGACUGAAAUAUCCUUAAAGUUGUUAACACUAUAAAGAAAAUAAUUACGAUAAUAUUUUAUUCUAAAUUAAUACAUAUACAAAAAAAUUAUAAUUUAGUUCAUUUUCAAUUUAAAACUGAUUGCCUAAAUAUAAAUUAUUUAUUUAAAUAACAUGCAAUAAUCUAUUAUUUCACCAAAAAAUAUUUUUUCGGCUCAUAGCUUCAAAUUCUUUGUUAAUAGAUAGACUCAUUGAAAAUUUUGAUUUAGAAUAUAGUUUCUCCAAUUUAAAAAAAUGAGGGAUUCAACAGCAAUUUUUUUUUAAAAAAAAUGUUAUGGAACCAAAAAAGAAACUAAAACAAAAUAAUGUAUAUAAAAUAUUAAAUGCAUCAAACAUUUACAAAGCUACAGUUGGCUUUACGUUUACAACUUCAAACAAAUUGAUAAAAUUUUGGGGAAUGGCAGCAGAGAUGACACGGGAUUUAUUAAUUAGUAAGGGAAGGAUAGUUUUGGAUUUAGAAAAAGUAAAAGGGAUAAUAACUCUACAAAGAACAAAACACUAUUUUUCACUCUCAUGAAUCCAAAACCAAAAGAGUUCGGCAGUGAUGGAAUUUGGAAGGCACACAUUGGAAAUGACAAAGGAAAGGAGAAAAAGAAAAGAUUAUGGAAUUUGGAAGGCAGAGAUUGAAAAUGGCGGAGGAAAGGAGAAAAAGAAAAGAUUGGGGUAUUUUGAAAAUUAUACAUAAGUAUCAGGGAUAGCAAUAUAAAAUACUUGGUCAAAGAGGGAUGACUUUUAAGCUAGAAAAAAAAAGUUGGGAUUACCCAACUUAUCACUUUUGGCUUAAUUUGGAUCUUUUGGCUUAAAAGCAUUUGACCUUUAAGCAGAUUUUAAGUUUGCCAAACACCUCAAUAAGCUAAAAAAUGACUUAAAAGCUGGUUUGACCAGCUUUUAAGCCCAUCCAAACAGGCUCUAAUUUAUGCAUUAAGCCUAACUUGAUUUUCUUGUGGGAAACUAGGACUUUACCUUACCAAUGAAAGAAAAAAAAUCUUGAAUUUUCAUUUAGUAAGGCUUAAAUAAUUGGAAUAUUUUUCUCUUUAAAUAUUUAAGUGAGAUAAGAUGAUGAUUAUUUUAUUUUAUUAUUAAAUGUUGUAUCAUUCAUACUUUUGAGUCUGUAUAAAAAUGGUAUGAAAGGAAAUUAUUUUUCCUCCUUUUUCUGUGUGGUCGGCGGAGAUCAGCAUAAACCCAAAAGUAUGAAGAUGUAGAAGCCCACACAGAAAUGCUAGAUAUUUUGGAAAUAAAAGUUAAUUAUUUAUUUUUUUCGUUUUUGGAUAACUGCAAUAUAGAGGGAACAUUAUGACCAAUCGAUGUUUCAUGUGUCAGAAAAAGACAAUAAAUAUCUUUUCUGCAUUGUACAGUGGACAAAAGUGUUGGAGAACUACACCAUACUCAAAUUCGAGUUCAAAUUGAAAGCGAAAUGGUAGAUGCCCUGAGGAUGAAUCUGAAGCCAUUCAGUGAGAUGCAUUGUCGGAGAUGUCUCUCUUCCUUCUUUUUCCCUUCGUCUUUGGUGCAUGAGAGUCUAUGUUACUCAGAUGCGAGUACUCAAUACGAGUGCGGAUAGAGGUUGGAUUCUUCAUCACACAAGUUUUUGGAUUUGGGGUUAUGGAUCUGAGUACAAAUACAGGUGGGAUACUGUCAAUAAAUGUACAUUGAAGCAUAUAUAAGUAUAUAAAAUGAUUAGUAAACCUUAUUGAGCUAAAACUAAUAAAAUAUAAUUCUUAAGAAAUACAUAAUUUUUUAUUCAUAAGAUUUCUCGUGUAAUAGUUAUGCGUUCUCAUACUUUAUAUAACUAUCUACAUAUGAUAUAAACCCAAAACUCAAACCAAGUAGAUGUAGUCAAAGCAUCCAAGGUAAGUUGACCAAAUCCAAUGUGGACCCCUCCUCCUCCACUCACACUCAAAUCAUGUCGGAUCGACAUGGGUGCGGAAGGGAUUUGAAGGGCCCGAGCAACAUAUGUGAGAAUGGAGAGUAACAGGAAUUUUUGAGGGCCCUUCCUAGGAGCUUCUUUGGAGGGUUUGUAGGCUUUUCUUAACGUUAGCUUUAACAUAACUACAAUGGGAUUAGACUAGAGAGCCUCUAUGGUUCUAUUUCCUUCUUAAUUCUCUUAUAUGUUAAUCUGGGAACAUAUUUUUUUGUUUGUUGGUAAUGCGGGGAUGUAUUGUCUUACCUUAUCGCAUCUCUCUUUUCCAUAUCUAUCAAUAAAAUCUUUCCUCCAAGAACUAGCACUGUAAUCUGUUGUUAGUAAGGCUCCAAGUUAAUAAAUCAGCUAAAACCAUAAUAGUAUUAUGCUUUUGAUUUUUCAAUUGGCUUUUCAACUUCUAUUAACUCUACUGUUGUGUGGGCCUGACUUAGCUUAUUCUCUUGUUUUUGGUGAAACUCUUGUUUUUGGUGAACUAUAAUGUCAAGCGCUUAUCCAGGAGCACACCCAUGAUUUUUUCUGGAGCUCAAUACUUGCUUGAUUGUGGAGACCUGGAGAAAUAUCAAGUAUCACUGUAAGUGGUGGAUCUUGAGGAAUUUCUACAACAAUGUGAGUGUCAAGGUAACAGCAAAUUUCCUACCUUAUUUUAUUUUUAAGCUAUGAAUGAAGCUAUAUUGGCUGUUGAUGCUACAUUUUCUUAUUCCAGUUUUCAUGGACCAGAUAUAUCAUAAUAUCACCACGAGACGGCAGGGCCAAGAUAUUUUACAGUGUCAUGGUCCAAGCAUGAAGUUGUUGAAGUCAUUCAUUCAGAGUCCUAGGUUUUAGCUCAAUCUUCACAAAAUGAACUGAGCAAGAGGGAGAACUGACCAAGAGGGAGGUUAAGGGGACUCUGUCCUGAAGACUGAGGGGGCUAACAUGAAGUAGUGGUCUCUUUUUUAUAUUAGUUAUACAAAGAUUAUCGAGGACCACAGUUCAAAUUUCAGUGUAUUCAAAAAGCACUAGGUGAUUUCUUCCCAACUAUCUUAACCUUGUUGGAUAGAGUUAAACGAGUACGGCCAGAGAUAGCAGGAAUUCAGUGGUUAGUCGAGGACACCAGCUAUCAAGAAAAGUUGCAGUGAGAUAUUGUUGGAAAAUUCCCUAGUAUAAUAAUUACGAUUUCAAUUUGGAUUUUUGGCCUAUUUCUAUAACGUCAUU